rfam:Clostridium sp. TSBA 49 genome assembly, contig: Ga0111601_112
UCUGGUGAUGAUGGCGAGAAGGUAACACCCGUUCCCAUUCCGAACACGCAAGUUAAGCUUCUCAGCGCCGAUGGUACUGCUCGGGAGACCGAGUGGAAGAGUAGGACGUUGCCAGGU